rnacentral:rRNA from 1 species
GACGAACGCUGGCGGCAUGCCUAAUACAUGCAAGUCGAGCGGAGUUAUGAUGGAGCUUGCUCCUGAUUAACUUAGCGGCGGACGGGUGAGUAACACGUAGGCAACCUGCCCUCAAGACUGGGAUAACUACCGGAAACGGUAGCUAAUACCGGAUAAUUUCUUUCCUCUCCUGAAGAGAGAAUGAAAGGCGGAGCAAUCUGCUACUUGGGGAUGGGCCUGCGGCGCAUUAGCUAGUUGGUGGGGUAACGGCCCACCAAGGCGACGAUGCGUAGCCGACCUGAGAGGGUGAACGGCCACACUGGGACUGAGACACGGCCCAG